rnacentral:lncRNA from 1 species
CCUGGAUACGCUUUAAUUGUGUGUCCGAGCAUAGCGCGCCCCACACAGGCAGGGUAUAUUGCCAGAGGGGGGCGAUGAGUUGCCUUACCAUGAGCGAUUUGCAUUUUUUAGGCAGUUUGCUUCUUGGGCCAAUGAGCCAGCCCAGCUUUUUUGCCCUAGCCCUCAUUCUCGCUCUGAGUAGUGCAACAUGUGAUAACAUGUUUAGUUCGCUGUCUAAUUUAACGCCUAGGUAAGUGGUGCAUUUUUUGGUUUGAAUCGCUUUAUCGUUGACCAUUAUUGGGACGUUGUCAAGUAGCUUCCUCCUUCUCGUGAAUAUGACAUGUGCCGUCUUAUCUGCGUUGAUUGUGAUGGACCAUUUUCUAGUCCAUUGGAGUAGCUCCCUCAGGUAGCCGUUGUUAAGCCUAGUCGCUGAUGAUGGGAAAUCUGCAGCACUCAGGAUGGCCGUAUCGUCUGCGUAGGUGGCUAGAAGCAUUCUCUGCCCUAUAUUGGGGAGGUCUCUGUGGACCGUAAUUGGCAUUGGCAUGUCUGAGGCAUAGAUAGAGUAUAGGAUGGGGCCCAGGACACUCCCCUGGGGGACACCCGCAGCGAUUACGCCCGUCCUCGAACGUAUACCGUCGCAGCAUUUGACUGCGAAUGAACGCUGGGAUAGGUAGCUCUCCAGGAUAGUGUAUAGGCGCAGUGGGAGGACCUGGAUGAGUUUGGAAAGUAGACCCUCAUGCCAGACUCGGUCGAAGGCCUCCGAGAUGUCCAGGAACACGGCCGAGCAGACCUUCUUAUCCUCGUGCGCCUUGAGGACGAAUUGGGCCACACGACUUAGUUGCUGUUCAGCGGCAUGCUCUUUCCUGAAGCCAAACUGGUGGGCGGGGAUGGCUUUUUUGAAGGCAUCCUCCUGCAUUAGCCGCCUCAAUAGGAGCUUCUCGAAUAGUUUUGAGAGUCCAGAAAGGAGACUUAUUGGGCGAUAGGAAGCCAUAUUUGCUGGAUUCUUUUUCGGCUUCGGGACCAUUGUAAUGAUGGCAUGUUUCCAUGCCCUCGGGAAGUGACCUAUGCGUAGGAUGGAAUUGAAGAUAAGUAUUAGGUACAGGAUAGCUUUCUUGGGCAGGAUCUUAAUGACUCCAUUGUCAAUGUUGUCUAAUCCGGGGGCCUUGUUUCUGACGAGUUGACGAAUCUCAUUCUUAACUUCUGUCAGUGUGAUUGGUUUAGUGAAUUUGUGUCCCGGUUGCUGUAUACUUAUCGCAUUGUCGUUCGCUUUUUUGGCCCUUGUCUUCUGCCAUUCGUCGAUGAUUGCUGCCCUUUCAGCGUCUGUGCUGGUGUGUUGGGGGCUGAGUCUCUCCUCGAGAUGCUUUGCGAAGGCUUCUGCCUUCUCCAGGGUACACCGUGUCCAGGUAGUGUCUUGGUUGUCUGUUAUUUUAACUGAGCAGUUAGGUAUUGGCUGUUUUUUCAUGGUUUUCGUGAUUUUCCACAGCUUGGCCAUGUCCUUGCCAUCCAUUGUGCUGACUGCUCUCAGCUUGUCAUUAACUUUGUUGAUUUUAAUUGCAGCCAUGGCCUUGUUUAGCUUAUUUUGAGCCCUUCUGUAGUUUUUCCUGGACUCUAUUGUUCUAAGUGUCAGGAAGACUCUUCUUCUAUCCUGCUUCUCUUCCCAGAGUUUCAUCGUAGGUCCAUCAAGUUUGAGGGGAGGGUAUUUUCGGGGGUUGAAGUUGGAUUUUCGUAUUUCGGUGCUAGCUUUGGCUGCAGCGUCGUUUAUAUUGUUGUGGAGGAUGGUCACCGCGUCAUCUAUAUCCUCACCCGAGUUGAUCUCAGUAUUCAGGUGGAUGGAUUGUUCUAGGUGCAAAUGGAAUGUUUUUAUAUUAGAACCCCUGGGCAGGAGUCUAAUGUUUUGGGUGGUCUUGGUAUCUGGGUUUUGUCGUCGGGAUUUGUAGAUGUGUGUUAUUAGCGGUAGGUGAUCUGAAUCAAGGUCCAUGGAGGCGUAGAUCCUGACAUGGUCGGGUUUAAU